UGUAUAGCUGAAUACAGUUGGCUUGUUUGGGCUGCUUGGCGUGUGUGUGUUUGCUCUUGCAUUCCAUAUCCAAUGUAGCUUUUGCUUCAAGUGGAUGUGAUUUGGUUCAGCAGGCUGUGGAUACUUAGACUGCAGAAGAUCUUCAAGUCAGUAAAAGCAGCAGAAGACUCUUCAGAAUAUUUUUGCUACCCUUUGAGGGAACCACUAACACCUCAACACCAUGCAGACUGGUGCUGCAGAGGCAACAGCCCUUGCGUAACACCAUGUUUUCAAAGAGCUCCUGAAUACCGUGCUACUUUACGCAGGACUUCCCUUUCCAAUUUUAUCACUGGUGCUCUCCUAGAAGCAACCACGUCACUGGGAGCUAGAAGUGGUACGUUAAAUAUUUUAGGAGGAUCAACUGGAAAGACCAUGCUAAAAGCCAUGCUCAUAACUAUUUCCGGUGUGCUCCUGAAUGGAGGAAUGGAUAUAUCCACACAACUAUUUGCAUGAAUGCCCUGU